rnacentral:rRNA from 1 species
UACGUAGGUGGCAAGCGUUGUCCGGAUUUACUGGGCGAAAGAGCGCGCAGGCGGUCGUUCAAGUCGCGUGUGAAAGCCCCCGGCUCAACUGGGGAGGGUCACGCGAUACUGAUCGACUCGAAGGCAGGAGAGGGAAGUGGAAUUCCCGGUGUAGUGGUGAAAUGCGUAGAUAUCGGGAGGAACACCAGUGGCGAAGGCGACUUCCUGGCCUGUUCUUGA